GCAAGCUCUUUUGACAGCAAACAAGAGAGUCAAUAUGGAGGGUGAUACUAUUGGGGCUUUCUGUUUUAUACAGAUAGCCAGUCCCGAAUUGCAGCAAGCUCUAAGAGUUCAAAGGCAACAGGAAAAGAAGUGUUAUUCUCAGAUGAAAGAGCUGGCAUACAUUUGUCAGGAAGUAAAAAGUCCUCUUAAUGGUAUACGCUUUACAAAUUCAUUGUUGGAGGCCACAAAUUUGACAGAAUAUCAGAAGCAGUAUCUAGAGACAAGUGCUGCUUGU
rnacentral:misc_RNA from 1 species